rnacentral:lncRNA from 1 species
GGCCCAUAGGUGGCGCUGUUGAGCACUCCAGUGGCUCUGUAAAAAGGCCAACUCGCUGGAGGACGGAAGGGUGGCCUGAAGACUGAGGAGGGGCAGGUCAGGUGCCCAGUCCAGAGAGGAGGAGUUGAAGAUGACAAGCCGCACCCCACCUCCCCCCAACUCACUUGGGACUGGAUCCACCCUGAGGAGCCUCGGGUCAACAUCCUGUUUCCGGCAAGCCCUCCUGGAGGCCACACAGAGGGGUGUUUGUUCGUAGUGGGCGACGGGAGAGAUGCUAAUCACGUUGGAUAGCUGGUCCCAGCUGAAGGUCAGGAGGAUCCAUCAUUUACCUACCAAGAUAACUACCUUACUUACCAUAAACGUGAACGAUGCAGGCGGCUAGAGGGCUCGCUCGGUAGCUAAAAGUGAUUGCUACACAGGGGCAGCAAUCUGAAUUCAGUCCCCAGGAGCCAUGGAAAGCAGGAAGGAGAUGACCAGCUGCGUGGUUAGCUUCUGACUUCCCCACACGUGCUGUGACCCACACCCACACCAAUAAAUAUAUUUCUACUUUAUGCGUAUUA